AUCAACUUUCGAUGGUAGGAUAGAGGCCUACCAUGGUGGUAACGGGUAACGGGGUGUUAGGGCACGACACCGGAGAGGGAGCCUGAGAAACGGCUACCACAUCCAAGGAUGGCAGCAGGCGCGCAAAUUACCCAAUCCCGAUACGGGGAGGUAGUGACAAUAAAUAACAAUACGGGGUUCUUUCGGAUCUCGUAAUUGGAAUGAGUACAAUUUAAAUCUCUUAACGAGGAACAAUUGGAGGGCAAGUCUGGUGCCAGCAGCCGCGGUAAUUCCAGCUCCAAUAGCGUAUAUUAAAGUUGUUGCAGUUAAAAAGCUCGUAGUUGAAUUUCGGGGUCAGUAGGUUGGUCGUGCCUCUGGUAUGUACUGGCUUUACUGAUUCCUCCUUCUUGAAGAACUGUAAAGUCAUUAGUUUGGUGUUGCAGAGAAACAGGACUGUUACUUUGAAAAAAUUAGAGUGUUUAAAGCAGGCUAACGCUUGAAUACAUUAGCAUGGAAUAAUGAAAUAGGACGUUUGAUCCUAUUUUGUUGGUUUCUAGGAUCGACGUAAUGAUUAAUAGGGAUAGUUGGGGGCAUUAGUAUUCAAUUGUCAGAGGUGAAAUUCUUGGAUUUAUUGAAGACUAACUACUGCGAAAGCAUUUGCCAAGGAUGUUUUCAUUAAUCAAGAACGAAAGUUAGGGGAUCGAAGACGAUCAGAUACCGUCGUAGUCUUAACCAUAAACUAUGCCGACUAGGGAU
rnacentral:sRNA from 1 species